rnacentral:misc_RNA from 1 species
GCCUGUUCGAGCGUCAUUUCACCCCUCAAGCUUUUGCUUGGUAUUGGAUCUCACCCGAAAGGAUGUGUCUGAAAGAAAGUGGCAGUUUGGGAAACUUCAAGCGCAGUGAAAAUUUUCGCUUUGAACUUUUACCAGGCUUGCCAAAACAUCAUAUUCAAAACUUUGACCUCGGAUCAGGUAGGGAUACCCGCUGAACUUAA